AUCCUAAGCAACACACACACACAAAGGCUGGCACUCGUGAGCAAACAAAAGCUAGAGUUAACAAAUUCCAGGAGAAACGUUCAGUUCCAAGGAAUUCUGAGCUGGAAUUCUAAAUUGAGGCGCUGCCUUUGGAGCGUGGAGAAUUGUCACGAGGACAUGAGGGAAGGAAUCUCUAGAAAGGUGCUGACUGCUCUCAGUUUCGACCGGAAGGGGAUGAGAGAAAACCCCAAGCAUGCUGUGUGGGUGAGUGGCAAUCCUCUCUGCAGUUGACUGAAACCACAGCAGAGCCUCUGCCAGGGCUGCACAGUGGGGACCAGCCGUGACUCUGUGGUUCCCUUCUGAUGAGAGAUCUAUCCACGUUGUCCAUCGCCCACCUGUGAACGGCUCUCCACAUGGCAACAGUCACAAUCGCCAACUGUAACUGCCAACUCUGUAACCAGCGACCAUUUCAGGCGUGUAAACACGAGAGUAUCUGGUCACCUCUACUUUGAAGUAGGCCGGACUCACGGCCACCCUAUAGCCCAAGCCCCAGCCCUGCCUCGGCAUCGCUCACGCCUCCUCCACAUUCUUCUUUGCCCACACCCCAGGAGCACAAGGGGCAAAUCCAGAUGCGCCGCUUGGGAAAUUCACAGCCCAGGAACACAGCGUCCACUGUUUACUUUUUGUUGGAGUGGUUCUGAUGAGCUUGCCUCGCCCACAUACUUGAUUUUAAGAGAAGACGAGUCUUUGUACACCCACCUCCAAGGACCUGACUUCCUCUGGACCCACCCUCCUCUGGUCCAAGGGCACAACCACUCCCCUAACUGGGGCCUGUCACCGAGCCCAGAAGGAGGAUGCAGGUGGCAAUGUGAAGUUAAAACUGAAACAAUGUGUCCUCUGCACGUCUUAGCACUGACA
rnacentral:lncRNA from 1 species